rnacentral:lncRNA from 1 species
GGGCAUCAGGGAGCCCCUCUCUUGGGAAGUGGAGCUGAGCUGUGAUCUGAAAGAUGCAGACAGUGAGGAGGGCGGGUCAGGCAGAAAGAGUACGUGCAAGGGUCCUGGGGCCGCUGAAACAAAUGGCCACAGCCUGGGUGGCUCGGAACAAGAGAAACUGAUCUGCUCUGGUUCUGGAGGCCAGAAGCCCAAGAUCAAGGCGUCGAGGGCCAGGAUCCCUGCAAAGCCUCCAGGGGAGGGUCCCUCCUCACCUGGUGGCGGCUGCACCACUCCCGUCUCUGCCUCAUCUUCACACGACCUGCUCCUCCUCAUCUCCAUGUCCUCUCCUCUUCUGUGUCUUGUAAGGACACCUGUCCCUGGAUUUAGGGCCCACGCGGAGAUUCCAAGAGGAUCGCAUCUUGCGAUCCCUUGAUUACAUCUGCAAAGACCCUUUUCUCCAAAUAAGGUCACAGUCACAGGUGCCAGGGGCCGGGACGUAUCUUUUCGGGGCCACCACGGACAUCGCUCCUGGAUGAAGGCCCUGACGGGGAAGGUGGGAGUGCCCGGGUGUGAUCCUCCCACGACACUGAGCCAGGGGCUGCCAACCCAACUCGCAGACGUGAGUUGAGGGGGACGAGGCUGAGUUGCCCAAAGCAGCAUGCAGGCAGCUCCCGCCCUGCUCACGGCAGCAUCCCCAGGCCGGCACAGUGCUUAGCAAACUCUGGUGCUCAGCAAACCCUGGCAUCGUAAAGGCCUGGACAGCACGGCCCCUCCUCGGUGUUCCCAGCACAAACACUGUGCGUUGGGCCCCAGGGUACGCACCACAAGGGACCCAAGGACCCUCCUCAAGGGGUCUCUGGGUGUGGGAGCCGAGGGGUCCUCUCCCAGCAGUGUGGCUAGGGUUGCCACCUUCCUUCCAGGGUCUCAGCCUCCCCAUCAUGCGGGGUCUGGUGUGAAGGUCUUCAAUUCCAAGGACGUGAGGGACUUGCCGUCUGGAACAUGCUCCCUUGACACCUCACCCAUCUGACCAUUGGCUCACCGAGCAGGCGGCACGUCCCUGGGCCUGCCCACCCCACCCUGGGCGUCAGCCCACCGUCGCCUCUCCAUACCCCCAGCCCGGCCACACACACACAUGCACACACACGCGCACACACGCACGCACGCACGCCAGGCCCCCUUCCUCUCCGCCUGGACACGCCCUUUGCCAUCUCCCACCCAGAGGCUGCGGUCCCUGGAAGCCCCAACGCUACCAUUUGCCGUCCCACCCACCUUACUGUGGCCGGGCCCCUACAUAGCCAGACGCGGCCACUGUCCCCGCCCUGGCCACUCGGUGGGCGAGGGCUGGCCUGGGAGCUGCAGCCUCUGCGUGGCCCCGAGUGGGAAGACCGUGAGAGGGAGGCCCGGCCCCACUGGAGGCAGGAAGCUCGGUCGGGCUCAGAGACUCGUCCAGAGGCGCCUUCCCACGGAGGCCUCCCUGGGCGGCUGGGCCAGAGGCCCCGGGGGAACUGGACAGUUUGACUUUGCCUGGUGGAUCUGGAUGAACUGGAAAUGUGAAAGUCCUCAGGGGGUGUCCCGAGCCGGGCCACCUGGAAGGGCUUCAAAGAGCCGGGAGCAGAGCCUGGAGGCCGGUUCACACGGCCCCGGCCUAGCCCAGCACAGACACUCACGCCACCCGGCCCAGGCCCGGCCACGACCCCCUGCGCCCCGGGACCCUGCCGGCACAGCGGGCCUCUGGACACGGGCAUCUCCUGCCGGCCACGCACAGCCUCUCGCUCCGUCAGAUAUGAAUCAAACGCAUCCAGAUAAUAAUCAACGGAGGCGACUUGGCAGCGCGGGCCUGGCUGGCCUCCAGGCCCACCUCCAGCUACAGGAAAGACGAGGAUGGCAAAAGUGAUCCUUGGCAGAGGAUGGUGCAUUGUCCCACAGCUGUGGGAAAGUGCUCCGUGCGCAAACAUUUCCUUAAACCGAGCUCACAAGGAAACGUCCGCGAUGGCCUCGUGAAAGAGCGUCAGCGCGGCCGAACGGGACAAAAAUAACUGUAGGCUCCGACCGCGUUCCGGACCCGGGGAGCCCAAGGGGUGGCCCGGCCGAGCACCGCUCUGCCAAGGGGGGGGGGGUGCGGCGGGAGUCUCUUCGCCACUUUCUCAUCCCCUUGCACACAUUUCCCAGUGGGCGGGGUGCAAGCCCGGGCCCUCCCACCCCAGUGCACGCAAAGCUCCACAGGACUCUGGCCUGGCAGAGAUGGGGAGCAGGCUGCGGGCCGUGGGGGCCGCCGGGGCCACCACGCAGGAAUGUCGGGGCCUGACUCACUUUCUGAACCUGCCAUAUGGCCCUCCGUCCUGGGACCCAGGCUGGGAGCCAAGCAGGAGCCCCGGGGCUGGGUCCCCAGCCCUCCAGGCCGCCGCGUAAAGCCAUUUGUCAAAGGUAUUUCCCUAAAGCUUCCCCACCAAAGGAGCUGCCUUUUGAGAAGCCGGCUUGGGCCCGAGCCAGGUGGAGACGUCUGGGGGCUCUUGGCAAAAGUGCCAGCCGUCCCCAGAUCCGAAGUUCCUCUCUGGGUCGUCCCCACUUCUCUGUGCCAGGUGAGCGAGCUGCGGGGGCACCGGGGGCCACACGAGACGGGGGCCUGUCUCACCCAGCCUCUGGUCCAUGAAAACCCCACGUCCCAAAAGACCCACGGGGGGGCCUCCCAACACAGCUCCCCCAGGACGCUGCUCUGUCUGUUCAGGGACCACCAGCUGCUUCACAGAGAGGCCAGAGCGCAGAGAUGGAAAGCCAGAGGGACGGGCGGCCCCGCCAGCCAACACAGCAUCAGCAUCUAGAAGGAAGACGGCCACCUGGGGCAAGAGGGAGGCCUACAAAGCCGACACAAAGUUAAUUCCCCCUCCACGGGACCCCAUUUCUGGAACGAGGGGUCUGGGCGCACAUAAAGGCAUGCUCGUCACUGUGCGGCGCGGGCGCUGGCGGCCCCUGCUGUCACACGGCCCACGUCCGAAUUCUUACUGCAGACGAAUCUGCCAGGGACCCCGUGGUGUGGACACCGCACGGGCUAGUGUCCAGCGUCUGAGAGAAGGACUCUGGGAUGUGGCUCGCGCCCAGAAGCCCUGCCUUCCCCACUCCCGAUGUCCCCAUGCUGCCACCCGUGACAGUUCCAUGUCCAAAGGUGGCUGAUAGCAUAGCAGCGCCCCAGGUUCAUCUCGUUGGCACUCGCCACUGGUGAUGCCAAGGAAACCGGUGUUGGAUCCAAAGUCUUGAGGCAGCAAUAAGAGCUGCAAGACUCUCCUGGACCAUCUGCAGGCGGCCGGGACCCAGCUCGCGAGGCUGACCUGUAUGGAGAGCCCGCCCCGCAUGGCCUGGCACCCGGGGGCCACACGCCAUGUCUCACCCGUCCACACCGCAAGCCAGCCGGGCCGGGCCUGUUGCGAUCCCGUUCUGCAGAUGAGGCACCCGAGGGGCAAAGAGUUUGUGCGGCUGGCGGGCUCCAGGACCGGGCCCCUCGGCCAUUUCCCAGGACGCUGCUCCUGGUCGCACGCUAACCGUCUCUUCCCCAUCCCCUCCGGUCGCUUCAGAGAAUCAGCCACGGACGCGGCGCAGCGGAGGGAAACACCCACUUUACAGACACACACACUGAGGCCUAAGUGGGUUCAAUAACUAGCCUGAGGCCGAACAGCUACCUAACGGCAAGACCAGGAUUGGAACCCAAAUCAGAUGCCCAAGGCCACCCCUGCGACCAUCCUCUGAUUCUGCGCCCCCUCCUCUCUGCAUCCUUCCUCCUCCCAGGGUCUCGCAUCCAGUAACUGCUGGGUUCAGGCCCUCACCGCGUAAAGCAAGGACAAGAGCCUCCCUCUUAUGAAUACUCUUCAGAGAGAAAAUGCCUCUUCUGGGGUGAAUCACGUCAUCCCAAAUUCAUGUCCACCCAGAACCUCAUGGUACCCUUAUUUAGAAACAGGGUUUUUGCUGAUGUAUUUAAGACGAGGUCCCCCUGGGUUAGGGUGGCCCUCCAUCCAAUGACCAGCAUCCUUCUGAGAAGAAGAGAGGACACACCCAGGCGAGGAGGCCGUGUGAGGACGAGGCGGAGGCUGGAGGGACGCGGCCACAAGCCCAGGAGCCCUGGACCAUCCAGAAGCUGGAAGAGGCCCGAGGGGUCCCCUCUGGAGCCUCGGGAGGGGACACGGCCCUGUGACACCUUGAUCUCGGACCUCUGGCCUCCAGAACCGGGAGAGGAUAACUUUCUGCUGUCUAAAGGCACCCAGUAUGUGGGACUUUGUUUCGGCUGCCCCAGGAAGUUCGUCUGACGCCCCAGCACCCCGUGUUCCGGGGGGAGAGGCCGCGCCGGCCAGCUCCCACCCUGCCAUGUGAACUUCCUGUUGCUGCCACACUAUCAGUCAAUUAGGGAUGUGGAUCAAUUUUGUUCUGGAAAAAAAGAGAAAAGUAGGUGCCAGAACUCUCCACCAAGGAGCACAGGUCCCAGAGCCGUGGAGGAUGGACGCUCAGGGACGCACCCCCUGCUCGCAGCCAGCCGAGCACAGCCCUCCUGCCGGCAGGGACCCUUCUGGACACCCUGCUGGAUUCGCUGCACCGCCCCCACCGCCCCCUCUGCCCCCAUCUCCCUCCACCUCGUGUCCAGCCUGGAGAUCCCCCGCCUGGCCGCCGUCCACCGCGACAAGCCAGAGCAGGGCUCCGCGCGCAGGCCAAGUCACUGCCUUCCAGUUAUGCAGCUCAACUAUGCACCGGGGAAGGCCGGAGCGGCCGGGCCUGUGCCCCCGACACAUUCUUUGCAGCUCAAAGAAAUGCCAAAGGCAUCGGAUGGGAGCCAGAUUGCUUCCUGGGGGCGGGAGGGGUGCUCUGCCGGCCGUGCAACCUUCUCACGCCCCAGAGAGCAGCACCGUCCACGGGGACCAGGAGAGCCGGCCUGCCUCCCGCCUGCGGCCAGCCCACCCCAGGCUCUGGACCCAGGACCAGCCCGUUGUCCUCAGGCCCAUCCGCACACGCCAUCUUCAGGCACGUCCAAUGGUGACAAUAUCAAUAUCCACCUUGUC